AGGGGACAGAAUCAGAAGGACUUCACAACCUAGGAGAAAAGGAGAAAAGCCGGUUCCCAGGCAACAGCUAGGUCAGUCAGUAGCUGAAAGACCCCCAAGGCAGCUGUAGCUCUCUGUUCCUCGCCUGAGUCUCUCAAGCCUGCAACCGGGAAGCUCUGCAAUACCAGAGGGGGCCGCUAGGGAGUGCUCGCCAACAGCCAGGCUCCAGAAAGGAAGCAGCCGGCCAAGCCAAGAAGACCGGAAGGCAAUCGAUCAGAGUCGCCCUGGCAACCGGGCUGAGCCCGAGACAGACAGCACGUCGAUAAUGAAAUCAUCGUUAAAUGACUUCAAGCGCUAAUUAAUAAUCCAGGCCAACCGAGGCCAUGCCUGACUGGGGUCGGGGGAGGGGAUGUCAUUGUUGGGGAGCACUGGAAGCUUCUGGACAAUUAAUCAAUUAAUCCACUCACUCAAUAAUUGGCUCCUUUGUCCUCUGCCAUGCCCCCUCCCCCACCUCAUCCACCUCUGACUGUGGAGAGGGGAAGAAGAGAUGUGGGGCUAAUAGUUUCCAAGGGCCACAGUUCCUCCCUCUCCCCUCCUUUUUAUCCACACAUCUGUUUCCUGAGCCAGCUCACAAAAGCUUCCCUAAGUCAGGACUUGCCUGCGGUCUUCCACAGGACCUACCAAAGAGUGAACAUUUCAGGACCCCGAGUCCUCUGCUAUCCAGGGGGCGAGGAACGCGGCUCUGCGGAGGAGCGGAAUCUUCUCAGCAGCGACCUGCGAAGGGCUCAGCGGCCACAGGAGGGCGGCAGAGAACAGCGCUCCCUACAGAUCCAGACGACGGCCCUGGAUGCUGGCUGGAAUCCAGGCAAGGCCAGGCUGGGCUGCCCUGGGCUGGGGACGUCUUUAGCUCGAGCAAAAACCCAUGAAUUUCUGAAUUCAGGAAUCCUUGCAUCCCUUCUCAAGCUCUCUAGUCCCUGAAAUGCCAUCGCCCUCCUCAGCCUCCCUUCCAUUUCUCGUUCUCCUAGCACUGGGGCUGCUGGCACAGAAGGACCCUGUGGCUUUUCCUUCAUGGUAUAGCAGAUGACACCUACGCUCCUCCGUGACAUUCCCCAGGGUCCCAGCUGAUAACUGGAGCCAGAACUAGAACCCACGACUUCUUGGUUCUCAGUGCAGGGG
rnacentral:lncRNA from 1 species